rnacentral:rRNA from 1 species
CUAGGAUUCCCUCCGUAACGGCGAGUGAAGCGGGAAGAGCUCAGACUGAAAACCUUCGGGGAUGUAGUCUGGAGAUGGGAUAUCGAAUCUCAGGAAGCCGAUAAAGUGGUCUGGAACGACACGCCGUGGAGGGUGACAGCCCCGUUCGUAUCGGUGGAAAGAGAAAGUAGAUACCUAUCAACGAGUCGAGUUGUUUGGGAUUGCAGCUCAAAGCGGGUGGUAAAUUCCAUCUAAAGCUAAAUAUGGAUAGGAGACCGAUAGCAAACAAGUACCGUGAGGGAAAGAUGAAAAGCACUUUGAAAAGAGAGUGAAAUAGUACCUGAAAUUGCUGAAAAGGAACCGCUGGGAAGCAGUGUGCGGGCCGUAGAGUCUCUCUACGGCAUGCAGGUGAGGCUUGCUUCGAUGGUGAGGGAAAAGGCGUGCUUGCACUGUCCUACCAAUCCUCGGAGUGACUCUCACGAAAUGCUUCUCAUCAACCCGUCUUGAAACACGGACCAA